rnacentral:rRNA from 1 species
AGUGAACGCUGGCGGUAGGCCUAACACAUGCAAGUCGAACGGCAGCACAGUAAGAGCUUGCUCUUACGGGUGGCGAGUGGCGGACGGGUGAGGAAUACAUCGGAAUCUACUUUUUCGUGGGGGAUAACGUAGGGAAACUUACGCUAAUACCGCAUACGACCUACGGGUGAAAGCAGGGGAUCUUCGGACCUUGCGCGAUUGAAUGAGCCGAUGUCGGAUUAGCUAGUUGGCGGGGUAAAGGCCCACCAAGGCGACGAUCCGUAGCUGGUCUGAGAGGAUGAUCAGCCACAGUGGAACGGAGACACGGUCCAGACUCCUACGGGAGGCAGCAGUGGGGAAUAUUGGACAAUGGGCGCAAGCCUGAUCCAGCCAUACCGCGUGGGUGAAGAAGGCCUUCGGGUUGUAAAGCCCUUUUGUUGGGAAAGAAAAGCAGCAGGUUAAUACCCCGCUGUUCUGACGGUACCCAAAGAAUAAGCACCGGCUAACUUCGU